UUUUAUGGAGAGUUUGAUCCUGGCUCAGGAUGAACGCUGGCGGCGUGCCUAAUACAUGCAAGUCGAGCGAACGGACGAGAAGCUUGCUUCUCUGAUGUUAGCGGCGGACGGGUGAGUAACACGUGGAUAACCUACCUAUAAGACUGGGAUAACUUCGGGAAACCGGAGCUAAUACCGGAUAAUAUUUUGAACCGCAUGGUUCAAAAGUGAAAGACGGUCUUGCUGUCACUUAUAGAUGGAUCCGCGCUGCAUUAGCUAGUUGGUAAGGUAACGGCUUACCAAGGCAACGAAGCAU
rnacentral:rRNA from 1 species